rnacentral:rRNA from 1 species
UUCCGGUUGAUCCUGCCAGACCUGACUGCUAUCGGAUUGAUACUAAGCCAUGCGAGUCAUUGUAGCAAUACAAGGCAUACGGCUCAGUAACGCGUAGUCAACCUAACCUAUGGACGGGAAUAACCUCGGGAAACUGAGAAUAAUGCCCGAUAGAACAUUAUACCUGGAAUGGUUUAUGUUCCAAAUGAUUUAUCGCCGUAGGAUGGGACUGCGGCCUAUCAGUUUGUUGGUGAGGUAAUGGCCCACCAAGACUAUUACAGGUACGGGCUCUGAGAGGAGUAGCCCGGAGAUGGGUACUGAGACACGGACCCAGGCCCUAUGGGGCGCAGCAGGCGAGAAAACUUUGCAAUGUGCGAAAGCACGACAAGGUUAAUCCGAGUGAUUUCUGCUAAAGAAAUCUUUUGUUAGUCCUAGAAACACUAACGAAUAAGGGGUGGGCAAGUUCUGGUGUCAGCCGCCGCGGUAAAACCAGCACCUCAAGUGGUCAGGAUGAUUAUUGGGCCUAAAGCAUCCGUAGCCGGCUCUGUAAGUUUUCGGUUAAAUCUGUACGCUUAACGUACAGGCCGCCGGGAAUACUGCAAAGCUAGGGAGUGGGAGAAGUAGACGGUACUCGGUAGGAAGUGGUAAAAUGCUUUGAUCUAUCGAUGACCACCUGUGGCGAAGGCGGUCUACUAGAACACGUCCGACGGUGAGGGAUGAAAGCUGGGGGAGCAAACCGGAUUAGAUACCCGGGUAGUCCCAGCUGUAAACUAUGCAAACUCAGUGAUGCAUUGGCUUGUGGCCAAUGCAGUGCUGCAGGGAAGCCGUUAAGUUUGCCGCCUGGGAAGUACGUACGCAAGUAUGAAACUUAAAGGAAUUGGCGGGGGAGCACCACAAGGGGUGAAGCCUGCGGUUCAA